AACGCACGAGACCUGCGGACCUGCGGAGGGAUCAUUAAUGAGAAGCUGCCCCUCGUGGGUAGACCUCACACCCUCUGUGAACUUACCUUUGUUGCUUUGGCAGGCCCGUCCUCUGGACCGCCGGCUUCGGCUGGCCCGUGCCUGCCAGAGGAUUCCAAACCCUGUCUGUCAGUGUUGUCUGAGUCUAUAUGAAAUCGUUAAAACUUUUAGCAACGGAUCUCUAGAUCGGAAGAGCACACG
rnacentral:misc_RNA from 1 species